rnacentral:rRNA from 1 species
GACGAACGCUGGCGGCGUGCUUAACACAUGCAAGUCGAACGGAAAGGCCCUGCUCUUGUGGGGUGCUCGAGUGGCGAACGGGUGAGUAACACGUGAGUAGCCUGCCCCUGACUUUGGGAUAACUUCAGGAAACUGGGGCUAUUACCGGAUAGGAGAUCCUGCUGCACGGUGGGGGUUGGAAAGUUUCGGCGGUUGGGGCUGGACUGGCGGCUUACCAGCUUGUUGGUGGGGUAGUGGCUUACCAAGGCUUCGACGGGUAGCCGGCCUGAGAGGGUGACCGGCCACAUGGGGACUGAGAUACGGCCCAGACUCCUACGGGAGGCAGCAGUGGGGAAUAUUGCACAAUGGGCGGAAGCCUGAUGCAGCGACGCCGCGUGCGGGAUGACGGCCUUCGGGGUGUAAACCGCUUUCGCCUGUGACGAAGCGUGAGUGACGGUAAUGGGUAAAGAAGCACCGGCUAACUACGUG